CUCGUAGGUGGUUUGUCGCGUCGUCUGUGAAAUUCUGGGGCUUAACUCCGGGCGUGCAGGCGAUACGGGCAUAACUUGAGUGCUGUAGGGGAGAGUGGAAUUCCUGGUGUAGCGGUGAAAUGCGCAGAUAUCAGGAGGAACACCGAUGGCGAAGGCGGGUCUCUGGGCAGUAACUGACGCUGAGGAGCGAAAGCGUGGGUAGCGAACA
rnacentral:rRNA from 1 species